GAUGAACGCUGACAGAAUGCUUAACACAUGCAAGUCUACUUGAAUUUGGGUUUUUAACUUAGAUUUGGGUGGCGGACGGGUGAGUAACGCGUAAAGAACUUGCCUCACAGCUAGGGACAACAUUUAGAAAUGAAUGCUAAUACCUAAUAUUAUGAUAAUAGGGCAUCCUAUAAUUAUGAAAGCUAUAUGCGCUGUGAGAGAGCUUUGCGUCCCAUUAGCUAGUUGGAGAGGUAACAGCUCACCAAGGCGAUGAUGGGUAGCCGGCCUGAGAGGGUGAUCGGCCACAAGGGGACUGAGACACGGCCCUUACUCCUACGGGAGGCAGCAGUGGGGAAUAUUGGACAAUGGACCGAGAGUCUGAUCCAGCAAUUCUGUGUGCACGAUGAAGUUUUUCGGAAUGUAAAGUGCUUUCAGUUGGGAAGAAAGAAAUGACGGUACCAACAGAAGAAGUGACGGCUAAAUACGUGCCAGCAGCCGCGGUAAUACGUAUGUCACGAGCGUUAUCCGGAUUUAUUGGGCGUAAAGCGCGUCUAGGUGGUUAUAUAAGUCUGAUGUGAAAAUGCACGGCUCAACUCUGUAUUGCGUUGGAAACUGUAUAACUAGAGUACUGGAGAGGUAAGCGGAACUACAAGUGUAGAGGUGAAAUUCGUAGAUAUUUGUAGGAAUGCCGAUGGGGAAGCCAGCUUACUGGACAGAUACUGACGCUGAACGCGAAAGCGUGGGUAGCAAACAGG
rnacentral:rRNA from 1 species